CCUACGGGAGGCAGCAGUGAGGAAUAUUGGUCAAUGGACGAGAGUCUGAACCAGCCAAGUAGCGUGAAGGAUGACUGCCCUAUGGGUUGUAAACUUCUUUUAUAUGGGAAUAAAAUGUUCCACGUGUGGGAUUUUGUAUGUACCCUAUGAAUAAGGAUCGGCUAACUCCGGGCCAGCAGCCGCGGUAAUACGGAGGAUCCGAGCGUUAUCCGGAUUUAUUGGGUUUAAAGGGAGCGUAGGUGGAUUGUUAAGUCAGUUGUGAAAGUUUGCGGCUCAAACGUAAAAUUGCAGUUGAAACUGGCAGUCUUGAGUGCAGUAGAGGUGGGCGGAAGUCGUGGUGUAGCGGUGAAAUGCUUAGAUAUCACGAAGAACUCCGAUUGCGAAGGCAGUUCACUGGACUGCAACUGACACUGAGGCUCGAAAGUGUGGGUAUCAAACAGGAUUAGAUACCCCAGUAGUC
rnacentral:rRNA from 1 species